rnacentral:rRNA from 1 species
GACGAACGCUGGCGGCGUGCUUAACACAUGCAAGUCGAGCGGUAAGGCCCUUUCGGGGGUACACGAGCGGCGAACGGGUGAGUAACACGUGGGUGACCUGCCCUUAGCUCUGGGAUAAGCCUGGGAAACUGGGUCUAAUACCGGAUAUGACUCCAUGACGCAUGUUGUGGGGUGGAAAGCCUUGUGCGGCUAGGGAUGGGCCCGCGGCCUAUCAGCUUGUUGGUGGGGUGAUGGCCUACCAAGGCGACGACGGGUAGCCGGCCUGAGAGGGCGAUCGGCCACACUGGGACUGAGACACGGCCCAGACUCCUACGGGAGGCAGCAGUGGGGAAUCUUGCGCAAUGGGCGAAAGCCUGACGCAGCGACGCCGCGUGGGGAUGACGGCCUGG